CUCACAUCUCCGUGGGGAAGCAGCAGGAAGGGGCCACUCCUCCACAGACGUCACUUGUGCCCCAUGGAAAGCCCGGGAGGUGCUUGCUGGGCUGAGCUAGUGGCUGUGCCCAGAGUGGUGGGCACAAGGUACCAGUCUUAAUUUCCUGGGGCCUCCCCUUGUCCCACAGGAGGAUACUGAUCUCUCCAACAGAUCCUGGUGCUUCAGCUCUGCCUUUCACCACUUUUUUUCUUGAACCAUGCUUGUAAGGUGGCCUGGUGUGGUCCACCCUAUCCUGUCCCUGCACAGUGUGGCCUGGAGCCCUUGAGGUGCUUCUUUGGAGCCCAGAGCCCCAGCUCCCACCAGCUUUGUCCUCCUGUGAGGCUGACACUCCCUAUCCCCAGGAGAUCCAGGGAGGAGGAGCUGCCUGUGGAAGCUGGAAGGGGCUGCCUGGAGCCCACCUCAGCCACUCUGCCUGGAUGGUGCUGUUGGCAGAGUGGAACCAGGAGCUGAGGCCCAGAGCUGGCACAGGCACCCUGGGGGCUCACACGGAGCUGCCGGCCAAGGAUGCAGGAGGUCCCACAGUGCCAGGCUCUGCACUGGAUAUCCCUGCAGCUUCUCUGAGCACCUGCAGGCAGCUGGACAGGCACUGCACUCCCAGCCCUGUUGGGCUCCAGCUGCCACCUCAAGGAUGGACACCCAGGGUGAACGGAAGAGCCCGAGCCUGUGGUGCCCGAGAGAGACACGUCAGGAGGAAUGACGGGACAGGCCAGCAGUGAUGAGGAGACAGAUGUCUGCCCCAUCUCCUCAGGCUGCUUCCUGCUGGAUCUGCUCCCCACACACACUUCUCAGUGUGGAGAAGACCCCACCACAGCCUGGUCUCACUGGGAUACAGAAAGACUGGGUCAACUGAGAGAUGUUAUAAAAGGUGUUUUAUUGCAUAAUCAGUCUCAUAGAAAGGUGAGAAUUUUAAGGUGUUACAUUCAACACCAUCACAUCAGAGGCCGUCUUAAUUCUAGUUACAAUGUCUUUUAUAAAUUUCUUAGCCAAUCAACAACUUACAUAAAGCUUGCUAGCAUCUUCAUAAACCUAUCACUAAUUGCUUUUUCUCACACCAUUCUACUGCAAUGCAUCUUUUCUUAUCCAAUCAUAUAACACUACAGAAACUUACAUUGCUACAUCUUUAAUUUCUAACUAGCUUUAUAACAAGUUCUACUGCUAGACUUUAAAUUUUUCUAUAUCUAGCUUAAAAUAUUUAUUUGCUUACAUGAGGCAUAUUUCUGCUUGCUUAAAACACAUUUCUGCUUAAACUAUAAACCUCUAUUCUUUCUUCA